GACGGGGGGUCCUAGCGUUGUUCGGAAUCAUUGGGCGUAAAGCGUGUGCAGGUGGCUUUGUAAGUUGGAUGUGAAAGCCUUGGGCUUAACCCAAGAAGUGCAUUCAAAACUGCAAAACUUGAGUAUGGAAGAGGGUCGUGGAAUUCCUGGUGUAGUGGUGAAAUACGUAGAUAUCAGGAGGAACACCGGUGGCGAAGGCGGCGACCUGGUCCUAUACUGACACUCAUACACGAAAGCGUGGGGAUCAAACAGG
rnacentral:rRNA from 1 species